rnacentral:rRNA from 1 species
AACGCUAGCUACAGGCUUAACACAUGCAAGUCGAGGGGAAACGAUAGAGAAAGCUUGCUUUUUCUAGGCGUCGACCGGCGCACGGGUGAGUAACGCGUAUCCAACCUGCCCACCACUUGGGGAUAACCUUGCGAAAGUAAGACUAAUACCCAAUGACGUCUCUAGAAGACAUCUGAAAGGGAUUAAAGAUUUAUCGGUGAUGGAUGGGGAUGCGUCUGAUUAGCUUGUUGGCGGGGUAACGGCCCACCAAGGCUACGAUCAGUAGGGGUUCUGAGAGGAAGGUCCCCCACAUUGGAACUGAGACACGGUCCAAACUCCUACGGGAGGCAGCAGUGAGGAAUAUUGGUCAAUGGGCGCAAGCCUGAACCAGCCAAGUAGCGUGAGGGAAGACUGCCCUACGGGUUGUAAACCUCUUUUGUUUGGGAAUAAAGUGCGGGACGCGUCCCGCAUUGCAUGUACCAUUUGAAUAAGGACCGGCUAAUUCCGUGCCAGCAGCCGCGGUAAUACGGAAGGUCCGGGCGUUAUCCGGAUUUAUUGGGUUUAAAGGGAGCGUAGGCCGGAGAUUAAGCGUGUUGUGAAAUGUAGAUGCUCAACAUCUGAACUGCAGCGCGAACUGGUUUCCUUGAGUACGCACAAAGUGGGCGGAAUUCGUGGUGUAGCGGUGAAAUGCUUAGAUAUCACGAAGAACUCCGAUUG